CUGUCGCCGCCGCGGCCGUGGCGUUCAAUACUUGGUCGACUGGGAGGGCUAUGGGCCCGAGGAACGAUGCUGGGUGUCCCGCCGGCUCAUCCUGGACCCUGCUCUCGUUCAGGACUUCCACCGAGCUAACCCUGAGAAACCCGGGCCUGGUGGGCCGCCCAGUGGCGUCCGUCGGGGGAGGGGUACUGUCAUGAGGCCAGCCUCAUGACAGUUUUGGUGUUUGUUUUUGUCUGCCUGUCACCUUCCCCUCCCCCCUUGCACUCUGUCACCUCUGCUGGACCUGCCUACCUCCCACUCCACACCUGCCCUGCUGCUGCAAUCAAGCCACCUGGUUUCCAUCAGCUCAUCACCCAGUCUGCACUUAGUUCCUGUCCCUACCUUCAGUCUCUGCCGGAUCGUCACUCAGUGUACACGUCCUUCCUGCCUGCCCGUCUGCCAGCCCAGCCAUCACCUCAAGCCCUCCAGCCGUCAUCCCCCCUCCCCCCGGACCAGCACCCUUCCUUCCCCGCAUUCCCUCAUCUCAAAUAAACUUUUUCUUUCGUCA